rnacentral:rRNA from 1 species
AUUGAACGCUGGCGGCAUGCCUUACACAUGCAAGUCGAACGGCAGCACGGGUGCUUGCACCUGGUGGCGAGUGGCGAACGGGUGAGUAAUACAUCGGAACGUACCUUAUCGUGGGGGAUAACGCAGCGAAAGCUGUGCUAAUACCGCAUACGCCCUGAGGGGGAAAGCGGGGGAUCGCACGACCUCGCGCGAUUAGAGCGGCCGCUGCCUGCUUAGCUUGUUGGUGGGGCAAAAGCCCGACAAGGCGGCUAUCAGUAGCUGGGCUGAGAGGACGAUCAGCCACACUGGGACGUAGUCAUGGGCCAGACUCCUACGGGAGGCAGCAGUGGGAAAUUUUGGACAAUGGGGCCAACCCUGAUCCUGCAAUGCCGCGGGAGGGAAGAAGGCCGUAGGGUUGUAAAGCUCUUUUGUCAGGGAAGAAACACCGGCUCUAACACAGUCCGGGAAUGACGGUACCUGAAGAAUAAGCACCGGCUAACUACGUGCCAGCCGCCGCGGUAA